rnacentral:rRNA from 1 species
UGGCUCACCAAGGCGACGAUCCGUAACUGGUCUGAGAGGAUGAUCAGUCACACUGGAACUGAGACACGGUCCAGACUCCUACGGGAGGCAGCAGUGGGGAAUAUUGGACAAUGGGCGAAAGCCUGAUCCAGCCAUGCCGCGUGUGUGAAGAAGGUCUUCGGAUUGUAAAGCACUUUAAGUUGGGAGGAAGGGCAGUUACCUAAUACGUGAUUGUUUUGACGUUACCGACAGAAUAAGCACCGGCUAACUCUGUGCCAGCAGCCGCGGUAAUACAGAGGGUGCAAGCGUUAAUCGGAAUUACUGGGCGUAAAGCGCGCGUAGGUGGUUAGUUAAGUUGGAUGUGAAAUCCCCGGGCUCAACCUGGGAACUGCAUUCAAAACUGACUGACUAGAGUAUGGUAGAGGGUGGUGAAAUUUCCUGUGUGUCUUUCAAAUGCGUAAAUAUAGGAAGAACACCAGUGACAAAAGGCGACCACCUGACGGACACUGACCCUGAGGUGCAAAUCGGAGGAGGCAACGGGGAGUAGAUGCCCCUGUUAUCCACGCCUUAACAUGUCCGCUACCCGUCGGACCCUUGAGUUCGUAUUGGCCAUCUAACGAUUAAAUUGACC